ACAAUUAAUUCAGACUUCAAUACCUGUUUGAGCAAUAUUAUUUAUUUAAAACAUUCCCUACUAGUUUGUCAUUGCCAAGGCAAUCCCGGAGUGGGUUACACUGCAAUCAAGCAAAAUGCAUAUUAAACACAAUAGCUGAACAAGAAGCAAAAAAAGAACAGAAGAAGAAGCAAUUCACCAGGCUCCUCCAAAUGUCUGUGGGAGUGCAUGAGCCUUUAGCUGGCACCAGAAACCCAGCAAAGUCUGCAUCUGGGAGGGGAGGAAAUUCCAUAAUCAGGGCUCCAGGGUGAAGAAAGCCCUUCCUUAGAUUGCUACGCAUUGGCACAAGAAACAGAGUAACGUGUGAAGCAGCUCUUUAAGAAUGAACUUGAUAGACCUUUCUUAAAUAACCUCAAACAUCUGGCUGCCUCAUCAGGAGUUCUGGCCUUGGGUCUUAGUUUUCAGCAAAGAGAAGGUAACUUGCUGUGCCGCUUCUGUGAUACUAUUGGCUUUUGCAGCCUCUUAUUGGCAUGGAGCUCACAAGUCUGAAGUACAAACUUAGGCAUUGAAUACAUUCAGAUGUAAUGAUAAACUAUGGUUUAUUGUUGGCAGAGCAAACCUCGGUGAUUCCUCAUCUUCCCUUCCUUUUUUAUUAUAAUUUUUAUUUGCAUUUUUUACAUACAGUUCCAAAAGAAUAAGUAAAAGUUAAAGGGGGGGGGGGUGAAAACAAAACCACAACCAAACAGGGACACAAAACAAGACAUCUAAGGACUUCCCUUCCUCUCCUUCUCUGGUGUCCUUUCUUUUCCCUCUCUUCCGUGUAUUCUAAGUUACCAAGUUCUACUCUCCUUACUAAUUUUCUCUUACUUCCUCUUAUAUUGCUGAAUUUAUUCAAGUCCUGCCAAUCUGUUCACUUGUUUCUACUGAUUUUUAAAAGACCCUACAAACAUUUCCCAAUCCUUUUUGUAUUCUUGAUUUUCCCAACCAAUGUAGUUACAAGGAAGACAAAGCUUUUGUUUCAGUUUUUAACUAACCAUAGUUUAGUGUUAUGUUCAAAAACUGCUUAGUCUUAACUACAGCUUACUAAAAUGAGCCAGCUUCUAAGACUGGCUUGUAAAAAGCUGUCUUGUUUCAACAAACUGUACUGCAGAUAACCACAGAUUAAAGCGCAGAAUCAUACCCUCCAACAUUCCUCAGAUGAAAAUAGGGAAAUUUCUCACUCCCCUACCAACUAUGCCUCCUCGACCCCCCCCCAUUUUUGCCCCCAUCCCUCAGAGCAUUUCCUAUUAGAAGAAGUAUGAGUGCAGCCACCACUACACCAAUGGGACAUGGCACACACAUCCUCCAUUGUCCUGAGAAAACCCCUUAACACCAAUGUUAUUUUAUUCUUUGAUAGAUUUACAAAAAGAAAAACACAUAUCAAUAAGUUAAUUUUUGAAAGGGGCAAGAUUAGAUGCAAACGCACAAAGCAUUUAUUUUUUUUUUGUAUAAAAUAAAAUCAGUACUCUUUGCGCUCCGCUCUGCUCCCCCUUUCUUCCUGCCCAGGGCGGCCCUGCCCUCUGCCUGUCCCUCAAAGCUGGCGCAUCACCCAGGGCUGGGCCUUGAUGACGACAGCCUCCUUUCCUACUCUCCAGCAGCCGCUAUGAGGUGCCCAAGGGAGGAGGCCGACAGCAGUGGCCAUGGAGAGGCAACGGGAUGCUCCCUCACUGCUGCCACUGCUCAAGACCACCGGCUCAUUCUCCUCCCAGAGCUCAGUGGCGGCAGUGCUGGCAGGGGAAAUAGGGACAUUUUGGGAUCAAAUCAAAAGCUGGGACGGCUUUUUUAAUUCUGGGGCUGUCCCUGGAAAAUAGGGACACUUGGAGGGCAGACUUAACACUAAACUUUGUUUAUCUGAACAUGGAAGCAAAAGCUUCUGAUCUUGAGGCCAUGCUUGGGGAGGAGUGCAGUGGAGGAAAGAGGAAAGGACAGGGCAAAGUGCAAAUGAGUCGAGGCUCAUUCACACAGUGCUAUUGUUAUGUCCAAAUGCAAUCUAUUGUGUGCAUGUGGGUGGAAGAUGCAAGGGUCACAAGGGACAAAUGUAAACACAUAUAGCCAUAUAUACUUAGACUUUAUUUCAGUUGGCAAUGAGAACUCAGAGGAACAGAGGUUAAGCCAAAGGCUUUAUGGAAAAACCAAUAUAGCAGCAUUAAUGUCAAGACCUUAUUGUAAUGAUUUGCCCCGUCUGCACUGCAAGAGGAGAAUUAAUGUUCUUAAGCUGCUUUGGAUGCAGGGGGGCGGGGGAUGUGGUAUAAAGAGUUCCAACAAUUUUUUUUUUUGAAAACACACCACAGUGAUUGCAGAUCACAAUUGCUGGUGGGAAAUGUACAAAGUUCUAACUAGUUCAGAAUGAGCAGCUUAUGCUCGGUUUAAAAUGCUCCUUUAGCUCCGUUUUGAAAGUUAACAAGAGUUAGUAUUCCAGGAAGCAAAGGUUGGCAGAACCAAAGCAUGGCAAUUUGUCUCAUUCAGUAAUAGUCAUGGCAACUUAGAAUGAUUGUGAGUUGCUUUCAGUCUGCCAUUUCCCUGCCAUGCCUUUUGCAAAUCAAGUUUUUAUUAAGCCAGCAGGAAUUCUGUUAACUAGCUUCCUGCAAUGCAUUAAACAGAGCACAUCUUAGUACGGUGUACUAAUGCCAGUAAAUAGGCCCCUUUGGACACACUAGGAAAAGGUAAACCACUCUCAACUCUUUACCCAUCCUGAGGAAGAUGAUAAGCCAGCCUUCUGCAACCACAGGUGUUUUGUACUACAGCUCCCAUCAGGUCUAGUCAGCAUGGCUAAUGGUCAAGGAUGAUGAGAGCUGUAUUGCAACACAACAUGGAGGGCAUCACACCAGGGAUAAGCAAUCUAGACACUGGUAAGCACAAAAUAAAUUGUCCAAAAUGUAUUCCUCUCUAAGGUCUAUCUUGUUUACAACAGAUGUCUAGGACACACUUCUUUUACAGAAACAAAAACAGAGGUUAAUAGAGUAUAGAAAGAAGCCAUGUGCAUUUUUCUUACCAAAAGCUUGUCUUUACAAUUUCUGUUCAGUGGCACUGGCUGGGGGGGGGUGGGAGCUUUGCCCAAAUGAUUCAUCGUUUCUUUAUCUGUUAAAUUCAUCUAUGAUCCUCCAUGGCAGAGAAGAAAAGAUGUAGGAGUUCCCCAGCUUUUCAUCCAGACUAGAGGAGUCACUGUUCUUUACCAAAACAUUAAACAACAGAGCUGGGACAACAGCAAUCUCUCAUUCACCUGUUUGAGUUAGUUCAGGCCCCUGCACUUUGCAAGGGUUGUGUCUAUGCAGUAAGAAGAAAAACACCAGUUAAGCUUGCCCAUGCCUUAUGAGGAACGGCUAAGGGAGCUGGGCAUGUUUAGCCUGGAGAAGAGGAGGUUAAGGGGUGAUAUGAUAGCCAUGUUCAAAUAUAUAAAAGGAUGUCACAUAGAGGAGGGAGAAAGGUUGUUUUCUGCUGCUCCAGAGAAGCGGACACAGAGCAAUGGAUCCAAACUACAAGAAAGAAGAUUCCACCUAAACAUUAGGAAGAAUUUCCUGACAGUAAGAGCUGUUCGACAGUGGAAUUUGCUGCCAAGGAGUGUGGUGGAGUCUCCUUCUUUGGAGGUCCUUAAGCAGAGGCUUCACAACCAUAUGUCAGGAGUGCUCUGAUGGUGUUUCCUGCUUGCCAGGGGGUUGGACUCGAUGGCCCUUGUGGUCUCUUCCAACUCUAUGAUUCUAUGAUUCUAUGCACACUGAACAAACGGCAUAGUUUAAGCUUAGAAGGUCAUCUUGUGAAUCAGCCUAGGGAACUCAUAAAAUAAGUAGAGGGAGGUGGUUGUACUGCAGCUGAAAGUCAUUGGCAGCUGUCAAGUAGAGAACCAGCUGUGAUUUAGAACUCAUAGCUGGAAGGCUUAAAAGUGGCGUGGAUGAGGAUCUUGGAUGGCAGAGAGGACUAGGAUGGGUAAAAAUGGUUAAACUCAAGGUUUUCCAGAGAACAGUCUUUAUUUGUUUUGGUAGGAUGGCUGUCAGAGCCUUCCAAGGAGUCUUCUGUUUGAAGGGCUGUUUGGUCCAUAAGAAGGAACAGCAACAGCCUUGAACUUGCCCAUCAACUGUAAGAACCCACAGGUAAGACACAGGUCACCUGGUCAUAGCCAUCCACACGAUGGAAAGAUGCACAAUUUAUCUAUUUGAAUUUUGGGAAUUAUUUCUAAAUAUGUACUUAUACAUACAAAUUAAUAUAUGAUGACUUUAUGAAAAUCGAUUUCCUAUUUCAUCCCUUUUUUAGGUAAUGUAUUUUGGCAGGGGGUGAUAUAAAUAAGUGGCUGGUCAGUUGUUGUAGGAAACACCUAUGUCCCAAAGGACGAUGAGUGUUGUAUUCCAGGAACCUCUGGAGGGCCACAUGUUACCCAUCCUUCAUACAUUAGAUAAUUUCUAAUAUCAUCUGACACCCCCAUCCGCCCCCAGUUGUACUUGCAACUUGCCUAUUAAAAAUACAGUGGAAGAACUCUCAACCCUACGCUGUUCCGCUUCAU